rnacentral:tRNA from 1 species
GGAAUUGUGGCUUAGUUGGUUAAAGCACCUGUUUUGUAAACAGGAGAUCCUGGGUUGAAAUCCCCGCAUUGCCU